UACGAGUGCCCCAAGCGUUAUCCGGAAUUAUUGGGCGUAAAGGGUGUGUAGGUGGCGAUGUUAGUCUUCUGUCAAAUUCUUCGGCUUAACCGGGGGUCUGCAGGGGAAACGGCAUUGCUCGAGGAUGCGAGGGGUGAAUGGAACUCAUGGAGUAGGGGUGAAAUCCGUUGAUAUCAUGGGGAACACCAAAAGCGAAGGCAAUUCACUGGCGCAUUCCUGACACUGAAACACGAAAGCGUGGGUAGCGAACGGG
rnacentral:rRNA from 1 species